UUAGUACAUAUCGUCACCUGAAAUGCAAAUUAACGUAACAACAUUUUCAGAAAUUCACAGUGGCAUGAAUGAAACACGGAAUAAAAUGGAACAUGAGUGAAACAAAAUAUUAAUAUUGGUUAAAACUGGUUUAUAUAUGACCGCAGAACCAGAAAAUGUUGAACAUAUUUAAUAUUAUGUAUAUAAUUUGAAGUAGUGAAGCGUAAUCAAUAAGACACUCAAUUUCGAAUUUUUUGAUGAUACGUUAUUUUGCAUUUCAGAAAUUCACAGUGGCAUGAAUGAAACACGGAAUAAAAUGGAACAUGAGUGAAACAAAAUAUUAAUAUUGGUUAAAACUGGUAUAUAUAUGACCGCAGAACCAGAAAAUGUUGAACAUAUUUAAUAUUAUGUAUAUAAUUUGAAGUAGUGAAGCGUAAUCAAUAAGACACUCAAUUUCGAAUUUUUUGAUGAUACGUUAUUUUGCAUUUCAGGUGACGAUAUGC